CGGGAUGUGGCGCAGCCAGGUAGCGCGCACCCUUGGGGUGGGUGAGGUCCAGGGUUCGAAUCCCUGCAUUCCGACCA
rnacentral:tRNA from 10 species